rnacentral:tRNA from 1 species
ACUAAUUUGGCAGAGAAGUGCGGUGGAUUUAGAAUCUGUAUAUAUAGAUUAAUUCUAUAA